GCCCUAUGAUAAGUAUUAAAUGGCUGCAGUAUUUUAACUGUACAAAGGUAGCAUAAUAAAUAGUUUCUUAAUUGGGGGCUUGUAUGAAAGGGUUUAUGAAUUAUAAUUUUUAUUUUAUUUAUUUUUAGAAUUUUAUUUCUAAGUAAAAAAGCUUAGUUUUUUUUUUGGGACGAAAAGACCCUAUAGAACUUAAUUAAUUUAAUUUAUUAUUUAUUUUUUGUUUAAUAACACUAAGUUAAUAUUUAUAUUUGUUUGAUUGGGGCGAUUAUUAAGAAUAAUAAAACUUUAUUUCUUUUUUUCAUUUAUUUAUGAUUUA
rnacentral:rRNA from 1 species